CAGUAGCAGUUGAAGCUGCCAGCAUGAUCUCAACUUCCCUAUACAAGUCAAGGAAAGAUCAGAUCAUGUGGUAGCCUCACCUGUUGAUGGG